UCCAGACUCCUACGGGAGGCAGCAGUGGGGAAUAUUGCACAAUGGGGGGAACCCUGAUGCAGCGACGCCGCGUGGGUGAAGGAGCGUUUCGGCGCGUAAAGCCCUAUCGGCAGGGAAGAAGGAGGACGGUACCUGACUAAGAAGCCCCGGCUAACUACGUGCCAGCAGCCGCGGUAAUACGUAGGGGGCAAGCGUUAUCCGGAUUUACUGGGUGUAAAGGGGGCGCAGACGGCAGCGCAAGCCAGGAGUGAAAGCCCGGGGCCCAACCCCGGGACUGCUCUUGGAACUGCGCGGCUGGAGUGCAGGAGGGGCAGGCGGAAUUCCUGGUGUAGCGGUGAAAUGCGUAGAUAUCAGGAGGAACACCGGUGGCGAAGGCGGCCUGCUGGACUGCGACUGACGUUGAGGCCCGAAAGCGUGGGGAGCAAACAGGAUUAGAUACCCCAGUAA
rnacentral:rRNA from 1 species